rnacentral:rRNA from 1 species
GACGAACGCUGGCGGCGCGCCUAACACAUGCAAGUCGAACGAGCGAGAGGAGGUUUACUUUCUCAAGCGAGUGGCGAACGGGUGAGUAACGCGUGAGGAACCUGCCUCAAAGAGGGGGACAACAGUUGGAAACGACUGCUAAUACCGCAUAAGCCCACGACCCGGCAUCGGGUAGAGGGAAAAGGAGCAAUCCGCUUUGAGAUGGCCUCGCGUCCGAUUAGCUAGUUGGUGGGGUAAUGGCCCACCAAGGCGACGAUCGGUAGCCGGACUGAGAGGUUGAACGGCCACAUUGGGACUGAGACACGGCCCAGACUCCUACGGGAGGCAGCAGUGGGGAAUAUUGCACAAUGGGGGAAACCCUGAUGCAGCGACGCCGCGUGGAGGAAGAAGGUCUUCGGAUUGUAAACUCCUGUUGUUGAGGAAGAUAAUGACGGUACUCAACAAGGAAGUGACGGCUAACUACGUG